AUGAGGCUUUGGCUCCAUUUAGUUCUCCUUGUAGCAGCUCUGGAAGGUGUCCGGUCCCAGGUCCAGCUGGUGGAGUCCGGAGGGGAUGUGAAAAAGCCCGGAGACUCUCUCCGCCUCUCCUGCAAAGCCUCCGGCUUCACCUUCAGCAGCUACAGUAUGGACUGGGUCCGACAGGCUCCCGGGAAGGGGCUGGAGUGGGUCGCCUGGAUUUAUUCUGAUGGGAGCUCACAAUAUUACGCAGACUCAGUGAAAGGCCGAUUCACCAUCUCCAGGGACAAUCCCAAGAGUGAGCUGUAUCUGCAAAUGACCGGCCUGAAGCCCGAGGACACCGCCCGCUAUUACUGCGCCUGGCAGGGGCGGCUCUGUGUUCUUUGCCACUCCAAGCACGGCAGUCGGGCGGCCUUCGGUGGCCUUUCUCCGGUUGAUUUGCCAUCCCGCGACUUCGGGGAAGCCGAUCCUGCUUGCUCGCUGGCGCCUGGAGCCGACCCUGAGUAA